rnacentral:rRNA from 1 species
AGAGUUUGAUCCUGGCUCAGAUUGAACGCUGGCGGCAUGCCUUACACAUGCAAGUCGAACGGCAGCACAGUGUGUAGCAAUACACAUGGGUGGCGAGUGGCGGACGGGUGAGCAAUACAUGGGAACCUGCCCAAUAGUGGGGGAUAGCUCGGCGAAAGCCGGAUUAAUACCGCAUACGUCCUACGGGAGAAAGCGGGGUCGCAAGGCCUCGCGCUACUGGAAGGGCCCAUGUCCGAUUAGCUAGUUGGUAGGGUAACGGCCUACCAGGGCGACGAUCGGUAGCUGGUCUGAGAGGACGAUCAGCCACACUGGGACUGAGACACGGCCCAGACUCCUACGGGAGGCAGCAGUGGGGAAUAUUGGACAAUGGGGGAAACCCUGAUCCAGCAAUGCCGCGUGUGUGAAGAAGGCCUGCGGGUUGUAAAGCACUUUUAGUGGGGAUGAAAUGCUCAGUGCUAAUACCACUGAGCUUUGACCUAACCCACAGAAAGC